rnacentral:rRNA from 1 species
GACGAACGCUGGCGGCGUGCUUAACACAUGCAAGUCGAACGAAGAGCGAUGGACGCUUGCUUCUAUCAAUCUUAGUGGCGAACGGGUGAGUAACGCGUAAUCAACCCGCCCUUCAGAGGGGGACAACAGUUGGAAACGACUGCUAAUACCGCAUACGAUCUAACCUCGGCAUCGAGGAUAGAUGAAAGGUGGCCUCUACAUGUAAGCUAUCACUGAAGGAGGGGAUUGCGUCUGAUUAGCUAGUUGGAGGGGUAACGGCCCACCAAGGCGAUGAUCAGUAGCCGGUCUGAGAGGAUGAACGGCCACAUUGGGACUGAGACACGGCCCAGACUCCUACGGGAGGCAGCAGGGGGGAAUCUUCCGCAAUGGACGAAAGUCUGACGGAGCAACGCCGCGUGAGUGAUGACGGCCUUCGGGUUGUAAAGCUCUGUUAAUCGGGACGAAAGGCCUUCUGGCGAAUAGUGAGAAGGAUUGACGGUACCGGAAUAGAAAGCCACGGCUAACUACGUG